AUAUUGCACAAUGGAGGGAACUCUGAUGCAGCAACGCCGCGUGAAUGAAGAAGGUCUUCGGUUCGUAAAACUCUGUCAUUUGGGAAGAAUAAAUGACGGUACCCAAUGAGGAAGCUCCGGCUAACUACGUGCCAGCAGCCGCGGUAAUACGUAGGGGGCGAGCGUUGUCCGGAAGUACUGGGCGUACAGGGUACGUAGGCGGCUAUAUAAGUCAGGUGUGAAAUACCAGUGCUUAACACUGGAAUUGCAUUUGAAGCUGUGUAGCUUGAGUGCAGGAGAGGAAAGUGGAAUUCCUAGUGUAGCGGUGGAAUGCGUAGGGAUUAGGGGGAACACCAGUGGCGAAGGCGACUUUCUGGACUGUAACUGACGCUGAGGUACGAAAGCGUGGGUAGCGAAC
rnacentral:rRNA from 1 species